AACGAACGCUGGCGGCAGGCCUAACACAUGCAAGUCGAGCGCCCCGCAAGGGGAGCGGCAGACGGGUGAGUAACACGUGGGAAUUUUCCUCAAGGUACGGAACAACUCAGGGAAACUUGGGCUAAUACCGUAUGAUGCAGAGAUGCCAAAGAUUUAUCGCCUUGGGAUAAGCCCGCGUCAGAUUAGGUAGUUGGUGGGGUAAUGGCCUACCAAGCCUGUGAUCUGUAGCUGGUCUGAGAGGACGAUCAGCCACAUUGGGACUGAGACACGGCCCAAACUCCUACGGGAGGCAGCAGUGGGGAAUCUUGCGCAAUGGACGAAAGUCUGACGCAGCCAUGCCGCGUGAAUGAUGAAGGUCUUAGGAUUGUAAAGUUCUUUAGCCUGUGACGAUGAUGACGGUAACAGGAGAAUAAGCCCCGGCUAACUUCGUGCCAGCCGCCGCAGUAA
rnacentral:rRNA from 1 species